rnacentral:rRNA from 1 species
GACGAACCGUGCGAACGUUGUUCGGAAUCACUGGGCUUAAAGGGCGCGUAGGCGGCCUGCCAAGUCAGGGGUGAAAGCCCCCAGCUCAACUGGGGAAGUGCCUUUGAUACUGGCGGGCUCGAGCGAGGCAGGGGUCGUGGGAACUUCCGGUGGAGCGGUGAAAUGCGUUGAUAUCGGAAGGAACGCCGGUGGCGAAAGCGCACGACUGGUCCUCUUCUGACGCUGAGGCGCGAAAGCCAGGGGAGCGAAACGGG